rnacentral:lncRNA from 1 species
UUCAUAGAACCUUCUAAUUGAUUGAUGAAAUCGAAAGCGAAACGUUGCGGUUUUUUGUCACUAAUUUGCAUCAUCUCCCUCUUGGCAUGGCCAAGUAUAGGAGAAAGUAAUAUUAGGGUAAAAAGAAAGAUGGAGAAUAAAAAGUGUUGAACAAGUUGAAGUGCCAUGAGUAGUGAGUUGUAGUAGUAUCAAUGAUCAUUGAGAAAUAUAUGGUGAAUGAAGAU